CAGUGUGGCCUAGUGCAGAAGGCAUUGGACUAGGACUCCAGAGACCCAGGUCUACUCCUGGUCCACUGG
rnacentral:tRNA from 1 species